rnacentral:rRNA from 1 species
CCAGCCACCGCGGUCACACGAUUGACCCUAGCUAAUAGAGAUCGGCGUAGAGGGUGUUUAAGAUCUGACACAAUAAAGCUAAACUCCAUCUAAACUGUAAAACCCUAGCUGAUGUAAAAUAAACUACGAAAGUGGCUUUAAAGCUUCUGAACACACAAUAGCCAAGACCCAAACUGGGAUUAGACACCCCACUAUGCUUGGCCCUAAACCUCAGUAGUUAAACAACAAAACUACUCGCCAGAAUACUACGAGCAACGGCUUAAAACUCAAAGGACUUGACGGUGCUUUACACCCCCCUAGAGGAGCCUGUUCCAUAAUCGAUAAACCCCGAUCCACCCCACCCUCUCUUGCUCAGCCUAUAUACCGCCAUCUUCAGCAAACCCUGAUAAAGAUUACAAAGUGAGCGCAAACGCCUCCCCGCAAAAACGUUAGGUC